UACGUAGGGUGCGAGCGUUAAUCGGAAUUACUGGGCGUAAAGCGUGCGCAGGCGGCGCGUUAAGACAGGUGUGAAAGCCCCGAGCUUAACUUGGGAAUUGCGCUUGUGACUGGCGUGCUGGAGUGUGGCAGAGGGAGGUGGAAUUCCACGUGUAGCAGUGAAAUGCGUAGAGAUGUGGAGGAACACCGAUGGCUGAAGGCAGCCUCCUGGGCCAGCACUGACGCUCAUGCACGAAAGCGUGGGGAGCAAACAGG
rnacentral:rRNA from 1 species